UCAAGAUGUAGCUUAGGUAAUAAGCUUUGAUUAGCUACAAUUUUUUAAAAAUGAAUGAUUUAAGUUAGUAAAUUUUUGAAACUGAAUUUAAUUGUAAUAUAAAUUAGAAUAUUUGUGUGAAUUAUUAUAUUUA
rnacentral:rRNA from 1 species